GGGGGCAUUAGAGUCACGGAAAGGGGGAUAGAGAGAGAGAGAUGACAUGCGGCAAAGGUCCACAGGCCGGAUUCGAACCCGGGUCCACCGCGGCUAGGACUGAGCCUUGGCCAUACAUGGGCGCCCGCUGUACCAACUGAGCUAGCCAGGCGCCCAAAUUUGACAUUUUUGGGUGACCAAAAA